rnacentral:lncRNA from 1 species
GGGCAGCCUGCCACCGGCUGCGCGGUACGGAGCGCUGUGCUGCUGGGGAACGUUAGCAGCUCUUUUAUACGUAUACUUUACGCGUGACGCAGCGUGUCACCCUCAGCGCUUUUCUUCGCACGGUAACUUCACUGAAAUAGAAUGAUCUGUGCUUAGGAACGGUUUCGCGGUUCUCAGCCUAUAGAAGGCCGGCAGCGAGCAGAACAACGCGGAGCCGCGUAGAGCCGAGCCCGAGGAAACGCAGCGCAGGGAGUAACGCCUCCCACCGCCGCAGCUCAGGCGCCCACACGGCGCUCCCGCCCCUGCGAGCACCGCCAUCCCCGUUCCCACAACCCCGCGCGGCGCUACCCCGCCCGGGCCCCCCCCCNNNNNNNNNNNNNNNNNNNNNNNNNNNNNNNNNNNNNNNNNNNNNNNNNNNNNNNNNGGCCGGUGGCGCAGGGUGGGACGUGCCGCCCCUCCAUGGAGGGCGAUAAGAGAAGAACCAGAGAAGAUACUUGGAAAUCAGAAGAACUUAGAAAACAUCUUAGGGCAUCACAGUUAGAGAGUCAAAAUGAAGACAAAAAGCACAGAGAAAAGAAACUGCAGAAAGAGAAGGUUGGUCAUGACACAGGCACUCAUAAAGAUGAACGCAAAGACAGAGGGAAGAGCAAGGAAAGAAUGAGAGAGAGACUGAGAUCUGUUGAAAGAGACAGGGAUAAAAUCAGAGAAAGGGGAAAAGAACACCGCAGAGAUCAAGACAGAGAGAGACAUCAAGAUAAGUUUAAAGAGUCAAGUUUAGAGAAGGAAAGAUACAGUGUACCAAAAGAUAGAGACAGGGAGAGCAAUAGAGAGCGUGAUAAAAUGCGUAAAAGACAUGAAAUAAAGCAAACAGAUAUGCAAAAUAAUAUGAAAUCAUUUGAAGGAAGAGAUAAAGAACAUCACAGAAGAAGAGAAAAAAGCAGGCAUCGUUUGGAAGAGGAAAAAACAAGAGGUGAAGAGCGAGAAAGAAGACAUACAGGGAAGAAGGAUAGUAAUACGAAAACCAGCAUUGACACAUUUUUAGCAGACAGAGUUGGAGGAGGUGAAUAUGGACACAAGUUACAGAAAGAUAAAGAAUUGGAUAAAGAAGAAAAAAGGAGAUACAGAGAAAAAAAAGAACAUUCAAUUAGGCCAGAAAAAGACAGGCAUUCAAAAGAGAGAAGUCAUAAAUCUUACAAAAAAGAAGAGGAAGAAAGACAUAAGCCGAAGAGAUCUAUGGAGGAAUAUUCCCAUGGAGACAGAGGACAACCAGCAGAAGAUAGGAAGGGAGUAAAAAGUGGGGAAAAUGAAAGGAAGAAGCUUGAUCUUAGAAAGAGUGAACACAAAAGAGAAGAGGAGAAUCAAGGAGAAGAAAUGAGCCAUGAGCAUGUAAGUAGGACUGGAAAAGAUAAAGGAAAAAUCAGUGAAAAAGAGAAAAGAGAUGCAAGUCAAGAGGUAAAAAUACUUGAUUUUAGAUCUUAG